GAUGAACGCUGGCGGCGUGCCUAAUACAUGCAAGUCGAGCGAACAGACGAGGAGCUUGCUCCUCUGACGUUAGCGGCGGACGGGUGAGUAACACGUGGAUAACCUACCUAUAAGACUGGGAUAACUUCGGGAAACCGGAGAUAAUACCGGAUAAUAUAUUGAACCGCAGGGUUCAAUAGUGAAAGACGGUUUUGCUGUCACUUAUAGAUGGAUCCGCGCCGCAUUAGCUAGUUGGUAAGGUAACGGCUUACCAAGGCAACGAUGCGUAGCCGACCUGAGAGGGUGAUCGGCCACACUGGAACUGAGACACGGUCCAGACUCCUACGGGAGGCAGCAGUAGGGAAUCUUCCGCAAUGGGCGAAAGCUUGACGGAGCAACGCCGCGUGAGUGAUGAAGGUCUUCGGAUCGUAAAACUCUGUUAUUAGGGAAGAACAAAUGUGUAAGUAACUAUGCACGUCUUGACGGUACCUAAUCAGAAAGCCACGGCUAACUACGUG
rnacentral:rRNA from 1 species